rnacentral:rRNA from 1 species
GAAGGCCCUUCGGGGUACUCGAGUGGCGAACGGGUGAGUAACACGUGGGUGAUCUGCCCUGCACUUUGGGAUAAGCCUGGGAAACUGGGUCUAAUACCGAAUAUGACCAUGCGCCUCCUGGUGUGUGGUGGAAAGCUUUUGCGGUGUGGGAUGGGCCCGCGGCCUAUCAGCUUGUUGGUGGGGUAAUGGCCUACCAAGGCGACGACGGGUAGCCGGCCUGAGAGGGUGACCGGCCACACUGGGACUGAGAUACGGCCCAGACUCCUACGGGAGGCAGCAGUGGGGAAUAUUGCACAAUGGGCGCAAGCCUGAUGCAGCGACGCCGCGUGAGGGAUGACGGCCUUCGGGUUGUAAACCUCUUUCAGCACAGACGAAGCGCAAGUGACGGUAUGUGCAGAAGAAGGACCGGCCAACUACGUGCCAGCAGCCGCGGU